CCAGCAGCUGCGGUAAUUCCAGCUCCAAUAGCGUAUAUUAAAGUUGUUGCAGUUAAAAAGCUCGUAGUUGGAUUUCUAGUGGAGGUGAUCGGUCGGCCUCGCAAGGGGUCUGCACCUGUAUCGUCCUUUGCCAUCCUUCAGGAAGGCGCUUCUUGUAUUAACUUACGGGUUGCGAACUCCUGAUCUUUUACUGUGAAAAAAUUAGAGUGUUCAAAGCAGGCUUAGGCCGUUGAAUACAUUAGCAUGGAAUAAUGAGAUAGGGCCUUGGUGGUUUUCUAUUUUGUUGGUUUGCACGCCAAGGUAAUGAUUAAUAGGGAUAGUUGGGGGUAUUCGUAUUCAAUUGUCAGAGGUGAAAUUCUUGGAUUUAUGGAAGACGAACUACUGCGAAAGCAUUUACCAAGGAUGUUUUCAUUAAUCAAGAACGAAAGU
rnacentral:rRNA from 1 species